rnacentral:rRNA from 1 species
CAGGCCUAAUACAUGCAAGUCGAGGGGUAGAGCUAGCUUGCUAGCUUGAGACCGGCGCACGGGUGCGUAACGCGUAUGCAACCUACCUUCAUCAGGGGGAUAGCCCGGAGAAAUCCGGAUUAACACCGCAUGAAAUCACAGAACGGCAUCGUUCAAUGAUCAAACAUUUAUGGGAUGGAGAUGGGCAUGCGUGUCAUUAGUUAGUUGGCGGGGUAACGGCCCACCAAGACCGCGAUGACUAGGGGAUCUGAGAGGAUGACCCCCCACACUGGUACUGAGACACGGACCAGACUCCUACGGGAGGCAGCAGUAAGGAAUAUUGGUCAAUGGGGGCAACCCUGAACCAGCCAUGCCGCGUGCAGGAAGACGGCCCUCUGGGUUGUAAACUGCUUUUAUUCGGGAAUAAACCUAUCUACGUGUAGAUAGCUGAAUGUACCGAAGGAAUAAGGAUCGGCUAACUCCGUGCCAGCAGCCGCGGUAAUACGGAGGAUCCAAGCGUUAUCCGGAUUUAUUGGGUUUAAAGGGUGCGUAGGCGGCCUGUUAAGUCAGGGGUGAAAGACGGUAGCUCAACUAUCGCAGUGCCCUUGAUACUGAUGGGCUUGAAUGGACUAGAGGUAGGCGGAAUGUGACAAGUAGCGGUGAAAUGCAUAGAUAUGUCACAGAACACCGAUUGCGAAGGCAGCUUACUAUGGUCUUAUUGACGCUGAGGCACGAAAGCGUGGGGAUCAAACAGGAUUAGAUACCCUGGUAGUCCACGCCCUAAACGAUGAACACUCGCUGUU